rnacentral:misc_RNA from 1 species
UUUCCGUAGGUGAACCUGCGGAAGGAUCAUUGCACACACGAUGCAGCAAACUAGCGAACUGUGUUUGUCCCCCACCUACCCCAAACACGAGGGGCCGCAUCUGGAGGUGCGGCUGUCGACGGCAAGGUCCCGACCUUCGGGUCCCCGCAGUGGUUCCCGCAAGCGGGCUGAUCAUGUCGCCGUGUGGGUGUCCCGCGCAGGCUCUCGCCUUGCCUUAGGGUUGGGGAACGCGGGCAUUCUCCUCCCUUCGAUGGCAUCGUCCCCUCCUCCGGGAGAGCGACGCGCCUCGGGGGCCGUUUACAACUUUGCACCGUGUACAGCACCAGUGACUGAGUAUGCCUGUGUCCCGGUUCCGCUGCUGUGCUCGGGUGAUGCGAGAUUGGUCCUUAGGAACAAGAGUAAAUAAAAACAACUCUCAGCAACGGAUAUCUUGGCUCUU